GGGGAGCAUCUAGAUGGCAAGAUGUUGCCUGAUACAAUCUUCCUAUAGAGAAGAACUGUUGUUUCCUGCUUGCAAUGCUUGAGCAAGUACUGCAAGUCUCAAAUAAACAGUGACACAU
rnacentral:snoRNA from 2 species